CCGGCCCCAAUAUUUUGGGGGGAACCCCCGCAGCGCGCCCUUUGGGGUGAGCGGCGGAUUUUUUAGGGGGGAAUGAAACCGUGCCCAGAUCUAAGGAAUAGCCACUGGUAAACGGAGAGUAAUACCUUAUACGCCCUUAAGGGGAAAGAUUUAUCGGAUUGGGAUCGGCCCGCGUUAGAUUAGGUAGGUGGAGGGGUAAUGGCCUACCAAGCCUACGAUCUAUUUUUGGUGGUAGAGGAUGAUCAGCAACACUGGGACUGAGACACGGCCCAGACUCCUACGGGAGGCAGCAGUGGGGAAUCUUGGACAAUGGGGGCAACCCUGAUCCAGCCAUGCCGCGUGAGUGAUGAAGGCCUUAGGGUCGUAAAGCUCUUUCGCCUGUGACGAUAAUGACAGUAGCAGGUAAAGAAACCCCGGCUAACUCCGUGCCAGCAGCCGCGGUAAUACGGAGGGGGUUAGCGUUGNUCGGAAUUACUGGGCGUAAAGCGCGCGUAGGCGGAUUAGUCAGUUAGAGGUGAAAUCCCAGGGCUCAACCCCUGGAACUGCCCUUAAUACUGCUAGUCNGGAGUU
rnacentral:rRNA from 1 species